UAUACCAACACCUGGCUCAUGCACUGCAUUCUCUUGUCAGUGCCCAGGCUGCUAUACAGGGUUUGAUUGCUCCCAAUUGUUGAAUCCGUGUUCCUUCAAUCAGUGUCAGAAUGGAGGUACUUGCAUUGCAGUUCCUGGCUCAUGUACCGACUUCACUUGUACAUGCCCAACAUGCUACACAGGAACGUUGUGCUCCCAAUUCAUCAAUCCCUGCUCUGCCAAUCCAUGUCAGAAUGGUGGUUUCUGUCAGCAGACACCAGGCUCCUGCACCGAUUUCACUUGUUUCUGUUUGAAUUGCUAUACUGGCCCCA